rnacentral:rRNA from 1 species
GUAGGUGGCAAGCGUUGUCCGGAAUUAUUGGGCGUAAAGCGCGCGCAGGCGGUUCUUUAAGUCUGAUGUGAAAGCCCACGGCUCAACCGUGGAGGGUCAUUGGAAACUGGAGAACUUGAGUACAGAAGAGGAAAGCGGAAUUCCACGUGUAGCGGUGAAAUGCGUAGAGAUGUGGAGGAACACCCGUGGCGAAGGCGGCUUUCUGGUCUGUAACUGACGCUGAGGCGCGAAAGCGUGGGGAGCAAACAGGGAUUAGAUACCCUGGUAGUCCACGCCGUAAACGAUGAGUGCUAAGUGUUAGGGGGUUUCCCGCCCCUUAGUGCUGCAGCUAACGCAUUAAGCACUCCGCCUGGGGAGUACGCCGCAAGGCUG